UACGUAGGGGGCAAGCGUUGUCCGGAUUUAUUGGGCGUAAAGAGCGUGUAGGCGGUUAGGUAGGUCCGUUGUGAAAACUCGAGGCUCAACCUCGAGACGCCGAUGGAAACCAUCUGACUAGAGUCCGGAAGAGGAGAGUGGAAUUCCUGGUGUAGCGGUGAAAUGCGCAGGUAUCAGGAAGAACACCCGUGGCUAAGGCGGCUCUCUAGUACGUGACUGACGCUGAGACGCGAAAGCGUGGGGAGCGAACGAGGA
rnacentral:rRNA from 1 species